UUGAAAGGGAAACGAUUGAAGUCAGUCGUACCGACGGACAAUCAGCCUUUUGAGUGCGAUUCUGUGGGGCAUGAGGAGGAAACCCUCAUGUUUUGCAUAUUUGUGCUCUUUGGGUGUAUUUGUUCGUAUGGUGGGUUAACAUCAAUUUUGGUCGUCAUAAAAUGACGGGAGGAAUGUAGCUUUGGUCUCGUAUUGAAGUGUUAUAGCCUCUGGUAGAUGUGACGACCGGGAUUGAGGAUUGCAACGGAUACCCCUCGGGGCUACUCGCCUGAUCUCUGAUCGUUACUCUGGCGCCGAAAGCUUGCUUAUGUCAUCAAGUUGAUGGUCAAAAGGUUAGACGGGUUAAAUUCGUUAAGGAUGUUGACUUA
rnacentral:rRNA from 1 species